GGCGCUCUUUAACAUUAAGCCCUGAAGAAGGGCAAAAAUCAAAUUAAACCACACCUGGCGUGUGGC
rnacentral:misc_RNA from 1 species